rnacentral:rRNA from 1 species
GCUGUGGAACUCCUACGGGAGGCAGCAGUGGGGAAUAUUGGACAAUGGGGGGAACCCUGAUCCAGCCAUGCCGCGUGUGUGAAGAGGGCCUUUUGGUUGUAAAGCACUUUAAGCGAGGAGGAGGCUACUGGUACUAAUACUACCAGCUAGUGGACGUUACUCGCAGAAUAAGCACCGGCUAACUCUGUGCCAGCAGCCGCGGUAAUACAGAGGGUGCGAGCGUUAAUCGGAUUUACUGGGCGUAAAGCGUGCGUAGGUGGCUUUUUAAGUCAAAUGUGAAAUCCCCGAGCUUAACUUGGGAAUUGCAUUCGAUACUGGAAAGCUAGAGUAUGGGAGAGGAUGGUAGAAUUCCAGGUGUAGCGGUGAAAUGCGUAGAGAUCUGGAGGAAUACCGAUGGCGAAGGCAGCCAUCUGGCCUAAUACUGACACUGAGGUGCGAAAGCGUGGGGAGCAAACGGGAUUAGAAACCCCGGUAGUCCUACCACGU